AUGCCCACGGGCUCCACUCAUAAAUCAACCAUCGUACUCGGUACUUUCCAUCUCAUCCUAUCCAUAAACUUCACUUCUGAAACAUAAACCAACAUCAAAGAUUAGAUGCUAGUGCUCAUGACAGCAUGUAUUUGCGAAAAUAAAUGUUUUACACAGUUGAAUAAACUUGAGAUUCAAUCAACGGUAGAAACGCAAAAAAAAAAAUUUUUUUCGCCCCCCGAAAGUGAUUUUCGCUAAAAUCAAAUUCAGAUGCCAGUUAGCAAUUGUCAUACCAUUCUGUAAUGUUAGUAUAACUCGUCGAAUAUUUAGUAAAAGUUACUUUUGACCGUUUGAACAAAAUUCACUAACAGUUGGCCAAUUUUUUCCACAACAGGAUUGCUCGAUGGUAUACUAGUUUCUACUGAAUUUUUCUCUCCGUGUAUCUUGAAAAAGUAUGGAUCGUAAAAGAUAUUUUGAAGAACAAAAAUUUCAAAACCCCAAAGAUUUGCUGCUAUGUUGUAUGAGAACCAGUAAGAAUUAGUUCAGCAAUUUUCAUCUCGAAAUUAGUGUUUUUCGAAAGCUGUAUUUCCUUCCCAUUCUUUCCUCUUCUCCGAAGUUAAUAGUGCACAAUUUUAUCCCUUCAGAAGUUAGCAGAAUAAAAGGCCAAUGAGGAUCGGCCGCAGUGGAGUUUGACGUUGGAUGGGACAUGCAUUAUGCAAGGACACAAGCUGGUGUACACGAGGCGGCUCUUUACGCUUCGUCUCUCUUACUCCGUCGUUUAACUGCCAAAACUUUGAGCUACUUCCAGCGUUGCUUUUACUUGCCAUCAGAGGGUGGAGAAGGAUUCAGAAUUUUAACCCGUCAUGCAUAGAAUUACCGGCAAUUAAGACUUGGUUGUUGAUUUUGAGCUUUGGAACUCGAGAAUUCAGCUUAUCAUUGCAUAAAUAAGUCGGAGGUGUGAAUAUAUUGUGGAGGAAAGAGUUUUGCUGUUGUUGUUCAUUGCUCACUGGGUGGGCAUUUCCGAAGAUAUAACCGACUUGGUGAUUUUUGCUUCCCGAUGAAAAUGCUAGAUUUGGAAAAUGUUUUUCCAUUUUUGGUGUCCGGAUAGAACAUUUUGCGACCAUACAAGCAAUAGAACGACUUUUAAUCCUGAAGUGCUUAUGAUGAUGAUAUACACAAUGUUUGAAUUUAUUGAUGAGAUUUUCAUAACAACUAAAACUUUUCAAUUCUUUGCACAUCCAAACAAUUUUUGAGACAAGUGAAAAUUGAGGAAAUUUGGUCCAUAUUGUUUUAUAAUUUCAUUUUUCUAAUUCAUCACAUUUUCCAAAAUUUCUCCUACCAAUCAAAAAGGAAAGGAUUCUUCUUCAUCGACUUUCUCUGUCCCAUAAAAAUUUCUGCUCUCGAAAAAAAAAAAAAAAAAAUCCAAUAUCAAUUAAAAUUCCUAACGUCAUCACUACUUGCAGCCCCCCUCACACGCACACCACACACAUCCCAAACACAACAAAAAGAGAAAAAAAAAACCGCCAACUUUCACCAUUACGGAACAAUUUAUCCAAUGAUAAACGUGACGUCAGCGGGACACUCAACGAUAUAAACUUUCGCCGGAAAAGCUCAUCCUCAUUCUCCAUUCAUUACCAUAAAUCAUGAGAGAAAAGUGGUAUUGCAAUUUCUACCUGAUAUGCCUAGUAUGUGACUGAGUGAAAUUACUCCCACCUCUCAGAAUCAUCAGACCGAGAUGGCGAAGCGUGCAGGAUAGAUAAGAACAACUAGACCGAUAAAGUCUAAGGUGAAGCGGUACAAUUUUGAAAAUAGGCCACUUAUCCAAUAAAACGUGUCUCAUGCUCUCGUUACAAAUCAUAUACCGUGUAUAUGAAGUCCAUUGCAUUUAGCCUCCUUAGCGUCCUAGCCAUUUGAGUAACAAAGGAUAUUUUAACUUGUGCGGUGA